AUCGUCAGCUUGUGGGAACGGGUAGCGGGUAGGAACUCCUUUGGAGUCCCUCGGAUUCUAUUGGAUAGUCCUAUCAGGGAAAGUGAAUCAAUCCCUGCCCCCUGCAGAUUCCAGGAGCUUCCUGACCCGGGAAGCUAGCACCUGCUAAGGGUCCCUUGUCCAGGGUCACGGAUGAAGUCCAGAACGGCAUCCAAGGCGACGAAGAAUAUUUCCGGUACGGCGAAGAUGGCGGAGCUGGCAACCCUUGAUUUUAGGGAUAGUAUAAUCUCACAAACCAGUAGCGUCUGUCUCAGAGUGAGCGGCUACAAACAGCGUCUGACCCAGAGUGGGCGGCUGAAUAAGAACUCACCAACCCGCAUAGCAAGCGUGGUGUUUUAACUGCCAUUACCCCCCUCUUUUUAUCAUGGCGAAUAAUAAAACAAACGGAAAUGGUCCCCAGGUGGGUAAGGAAAUUUCUGAAUCCCACACCUCAAAGGUCUGCCUCACGGAUUCUGGGGGAGGCAAUAAUUCGCUCUUGAUAGAUAAAAACAAAAACCCACUAAGACGAACACAACAGAAACCAAGAAAAUCUAUCAAUCUGUCAAUAUGGACAUACAAUAUUAAAUCAAUGUCCACGGAUGAAAAAGUACAUGAACUGGAGGAAGAACUAAAAAAUAUAAAAUGGGAUAUCAUAGGCCUAUCGGAAACUCGAAGGAAAGAAGAAAACCGAAUACAGCUAAACUCCGGGAAUCUACUGUAUUAUAAAGGAAAUGAAAAGAAUAGUAAUUUUGGAGUAGGAUUUAUAAUAAAUAAAACCAUAAGUAAGCAUGUUCAAAUAAUCAAAGGUAUAUCAGAUCGUGUCGCCUAUGUCAUACUCAAAAUAAGAAGAACAUCAAUUAAAAUUAUCCAGGUAUAUGCCCCCACGACAGCUUAUGAUGACGAAGACAUCGAACUAUUUUAUGAAGAUAUUUCAAAGGCUAUGGAAGAACAUAAAAAUCGUCUCACACUAGUAAUAGGAGAUUUCAAUGCUAAACUGGGUAAGAAACUAAACAAAGAAGAAACUAAAAUAGGAAAUUUCGGAUACGGCCAGAGAAAUGAUAGAGGUGCUACUUUGAUGAACUACCUAGAAGAAAAGCGUCUAUACGCAAUGAACUCCUUCUACAAAAAAAAGUCCCAAAGAAAAUGGACAUGGAUCAGCCCUAAUGGGUCCACAAAAAAUGAGAUCGACUACAUACUGUCCACGGAACGAUAUAUCAUUAAAGAUGUAACAGUUCUUAACAAAUUCACAACAGGUAGCGAUCACAGGAUGGUCAGAGCAAAAAUUAAUAUCGACGGUAACUAUGAGAUGAAAAGAAAAAUAAUAAGAAACUCGGAUAUAGUAGAUAGAAACAAACUAGGGCAAUAUAAAGAGAAAUACAAAGACCUGUUAAAAGAACAAUUCACCGAAAAAUUAGACAGUGAUGAUAAAGAUAUAGACGAAAUAAACAACAUACUUACAGCAACGAUGGUUACAUCAGGAAAAGAAAUAGCAAAAAAGGAUGUUAAAAAGGACAACUAUGUAUCAGAAGAAACAAAGAAGCUUAUGGAUAAAAGAAGAAAGCUUGUCGAAGAAGGCAAAAGGAAAUCUAUAGAAUAUGUAGAAAUCAAUAAGACAAUAAGCAAAAUGAUAAAAGAAACUAAGAGAAAAGAACAAGAAAUAAAAAUAGAAGAAGUAAUACAGAACAACAAGAAUAUGAAAUGCUUAAGAACGAAACUCGGCAGAUUCGAAAUAAACAAAAUAAAAGACGUAAACGGAGUAGAAACAAACAUUAAAGACGACAUCAUAAAUAUAAUCCAACAUUUCUACUCAGAGUUAUAUAAAACAAAAAAGGGACCAUCAGAAGAAAUAAAAACCCAACUUAAGUCGAAAAUAAAAAAUGUCAAUUCAGAAUUACAGCCAGAAAUAAGCAAAUCAGAAAUAAAGAAGGCAUUGAAAGAAAUGAAAAACAACAAAUCGCCUGGAAAAGAUGGAAUAACUACAGAGAUGCUGAAAUAUGGUGGGAAAGUGGUAAUUGAUACUCUCUAUUCCCUUUUUAACAAAAUAUUAAAAGAAAAAAGAAUCCCAAACAACUGGAAGGAAUCCGUAACCAUUAUCUUACACAAGAAAGGGGACAAAGCAGAUAUAAAAAACUACCGUCCUAUAACACUCCUCAAUGUAAUGUAUAAACUCCUAACAAAAAUUUUAACCAACAGAUUGACGACAAAAUUCGACGGAUACCAAUCGAAAGAACAAGCUGGUUUUAGAAAGGGAUUUAGCACAAGUGAUCAUUUAUUAAGUAUGAAAAUCCUUAUAGAACGAGCAAAUGAAUACAACAUCCCUCUAUAUGUAGCGUUCAUAGAUUUCGAAAAGGCUUUUGACAGUGUCGAACAUUGGGCAGUGAAAAGUUCUUUGAUUAACAGCAGAAUUGACCACAGAUAUACAGACCUAAUAGCCAAUAUAUAUAAAGAUGCCACAACAACAAUUAAAGUAUACGAAGGAACACAAUCAAUUCAAAUAAAUAGAGGCGUAAGACAGGGUAACACAAUAUCACCGAAACUUUUCAAUCAGGUUCUGGAAGAUAUCUUUAAAAGAUUAGAAUGGGAAGAAAAAGGUAUAAAAAUUUGUGGACAACGCUUGAACCAUCUAAGGUACGCCGAUGACAUCGUAUUGAUAACCGAUAAAAAAGAAGAAUUGUUUGAAAUGAUGAAAGAACUGGACAUAGAAGCCGGAAAGAUAGGCCUUAAUAUGAAUUACAGCAAGACCAAAAUCAUAACAAAUACAGAUGAGGACAUCACAAUGAGGAUCGGACAAGAUGAAAUAGAACAAGUUCACGAUUAUAUAUAUCUGGGUCAAAUUAUAAAACUUAACAAGGAAAACCAAACAGCAGAGAUCAAAAGACGAGUUAGACUGGCAUGGGCGGCAUUUGGAAAACUAAGCUACAUCCUUAAAAACAAAAGAUAUCCACAACAUCUUAAGACCAAGGUAUACAAUCAAUGCGUACUCCCUGUUCUCACUUAUGGUUCACAAACGUGGACGUUUACAAAAGCAAACAUGGACAAGAUCAUAAAGACGCAAAGAGCAAUGGAAAGGCAAAUGUUGCACAUAAAACUAUUGGAUAAAAAGAGAAACGAGUGGAUAAGAGAGAAAACCAAAGUUAGGGAUGUUAGACAAGAAGUUGCAAAGUUGAAAUGGAGAUUUGCCGGACACACUAUAAGACAAAAGGAAGACCGAUGGAACAAAAUUCUCAUAAAUUGGAGACCGUGGCAAUAUAAACGAAGCAGAGGAAGACCACAAAUGAGAUGGGCAAAUGAUGUCAAGAAGCACGUUGGCUCUAGGUGGAUAACUGUAGCGACAGACAGAGAAGAAUGGAAAAGGAUUGGGGAGGCCUAUGUCCAAAGAUGGACCGAAGAAGGCUAAUUAGAUAGAUAGAGCUUGUGGGAGGUAGCAGUCGUUGAUUUUUACUGGUGGACAUGUUUCUCUGCGUAAACCACUUUUGGAUUUUAUCAAGGUUUGUCUGAAGGUUCUUUGAGGCUGAGGCCGGAUUGGUGUGGGAUGCCAAGACCGCUGUGUCAUCAGCGAAUGUUGCUACAGUGGUGGUUCUUGUUCUUGGCAGAUCAGCUGUAUAAAGGAGAAACAAUAUAGGUCCCAAGACGCUGCCUUGAGGAACGCCAGAAUAUAUUGGAUGUAAUGCACUAACUCUAAUUUUACUUAUGCUACCUGUAUUCAAGGAACAAAUUUAAAGCUUUUUCGAAAUACAUACAAUUUUGACAGUUUCCUAUGUAGUAAAUCUAUAAGGGGCCAAGUUCAAAAAACCAAAGAAAAAUGUGGAAACCGAAAUGGA
rnacentral:misc_RNA from 1 species